UCUGAGGUGAAAAUGAAGGUGGUCAGAGGCGAAUCGGCUGUGGGACCCUCGUGUCCUUUGGCCAGUCAGUGGCUUGCUGCCCUUCUGUGCUGUGGCCUGUUGUCACUUCUCGUCCUUUUUGGAUCAAGUGAUUUUCGCUUGAACUCCAUGCGGUGGGCUUUUCUCCUUGAUAUCAAUUUUUUUUAAAUAACUGAGUCGAGUAAACUAAAAAGCUCACAGCAAAACCCAUCCCUUACCUCUCAACUCAGCACGUGCACGCUGGCUUCAUAACAGGUUUUUCCGUGACAGUCUCUCAUUUCAUCCUCUUGAGUGGAUUGGUGGAAGCAGGACUUUCGUGCCGUGAGGUAUGGACGUGGGAGGUCAGCUGGGUUAGAACUGAGAAGAGAUAGGGUCUUCUCUGUGGUCUCGGUGACUCAGAUUCUCAUUUUCCUAAGUCCCUCCCACAGCAGAUUCUCAGGUCUGGAUCAUUAAUGAGAACCAGAGUUAAAGAUGUAUUUGAACAAGGGGGAGGUGGGAGAGAGAGUGAGCUCUUUUUAGAAGAACAGCUUUCACAAUUCUGUAAAUAAAAGCUGAUAGCCCAGUUUGGGUUCUUUCCAGAAACUUUAUUCCCAAGCUAUUUAUUUUAAGUUCCUAUUUUAAAUUUGUUUUUGGCAAAAGAAAAAUAAAGGCACCCAACCACUUUCUGUUCUCUAGUAGGAAAAUCUCAAACUUUAGGCGAUCUGGAGCAGCCGGUCGGUCAGUUAAUGUGUCUUCGGGGAGGGUCAACUGUUCUUACGGUGGGCACCAUGCUGGAUGUCACGAGAAGACCCGAGAGACUCAGGGCUGUGGUCUUUAUCAAGAAGCUUCAAACCGAUUUGCAGGAAGAGAGAUUCGUGUUCAGAACGCCACCCUAGGUCACCGCGAAGAGGUGCCCACUGAGCUAAGCUGGGAGAGCUUAAGCAUUGGAAAGUGCUGAUGGCAGUGCAUCGGAACACCGUAUACAUAAGGACACGGGGUCACGGUGAUGGUGACGACGCCAGCCAGCCACAACACUCCUGGUCACCAGCGCGGUUGCUGGAAUCAACACAUUCUAAAGAUUUAUAAGGGAAAGAACUUUAAAACACACACGCACACACGCACACACACACACACCCGACUCCCCCACCCCCCAUACCUACACCAGGUGGUCAGUUGAGAAGCCCAGAAGGAGCGAUGAUAGGAAGUUUGUUCGUGCUCCUUGGCGCUGGAACGUGAAGCGAGGCCUUGCUGUCUGUGCCAGGUCGGUCGGCCGUUGGUGAAGAGCAGGCAGGUUCCUCUCCCACGGGGGACCAGGGGCUGGGAGGCAGCUUUCGUAGGGAACAGACGGUGGGUUUGGCCCCUGGCCCACCUCUUACUGGCCGUGAGAUCUAGGGCAAAUCAUAGAACCCCUCCCACUCCACUUCAUUCAAAAGGUAAUAGGGAUGAUGAUCACACCUCAUGGUGAUAUAAGGUUAAGUUGAACAAAAGGCUUAAAGGCCACGGAAGAAGCAGUUACCAAAAGCGGAUUCCCUCCCCUGCCUUUCGAGGGUCCAGGCACCGAUUUGAGGGUGCCACACGGCCCCCAGGGCCAGCGUGGCCUCUGCAUUUCUGUGUCUCUCACCCAGUGGAGUGACAUCACCAGACGUCUGCCUGUGGCUGUCGCUCCCUUCCAAGACCACACAGGCAUUGCCCACAUCGUGACCACCAAUUUUGAAAUAGUGAAAAUAGCUUGUGGUUUGGAAGGAACUGUCCUCCGCUGCUGACCACAAGCAGAAUUACAAGUAGAGCGAACUAGAAGGCACAAAUGAUCUCCUUCUGAAAUGGAACUGUAGAAAUCUAAAGCUUGGGCACUUUUGGUUUUGGCGAGGUGAGCUAUUUUUAGUGACGGAGCAAACUCCAGUGUAGCAGAGCGAAGGAUGGGCUUUGGGUCAGACUGACGAGGGUCUGAACCCGGCUCGGCCACUUUCUGGCUGUGUCCUGGCACACGUUAUUUGGUCUUUGAGCCCUAGUUUCCUUCCAGCAUCAUGAGAAGUAACACGUGUCAUAUAGAGUGGUUGUGAAGUAUAGAAAAAACACAAGUCGUCUGUGCAUAUAAGUGACAUCUGUGCCGUUGGCUGUUGGGGUUGUGCCGAGUGUGUUUGAACUGCGAUCCUUACUUAUCCUGUUCUUCGAUUCUUACCUUAACCUUGUGACCAUCUCACAGCAGGUUUUAGCCUUCAUGUGGCUGAGACACAGCCCCGGUGAGAGCGAAUGACUUACUAAGGCCGCACGUGUUCACUGGGAGCCGUGGGACUGGAACCCACAUCGUCUAAGGGCUCGGCCGCUCGGCCGCACAGGACCUAUGUGUGUUGCUGUCUUAGCUCGUUUGCUGACUGCGGUCUCAGAAAUGCAGCUAAUUUAUGCAGAACUCUCAGGUCCUUUUCCGGAAUGUCAAAAAAAAGGGCAGGAGGGGAAAAGGGCUUGAGCAGUGAAAUUAAUUUUCUCUUGUGCUUGUUAGGUCCACUUAAGAAUUCCCUAAUACCUCCAAAUGCCACCGGAAGUCAAGGGCAAGGCGCCUCCUUGACCUGACGGGUGGCAGACUCGUUGUGGGUCGUAGGGAUCUGGCUCCGGGUCAAGGCUUGCCCUCUGCGAAUGUUCCCCUCCUUUGCCCCAGCUGUCAGGCCAGCCCAGGCCGCGUCCUUGGCUGACAGUGGUUUUAUUUCCCCGAGGGCUUCAGUAGAGUUCACGUACAAAUUUACACUACAUGUCUGCCUGCCCUUUUGUUUCUGUAAAGUGGUCGUAUUGUGUUUCCAAUUGAAACGAUGAGAAAACGGACACCGGGUAUCCCAUGCAAACAGAAGUCGUCGUCUUAUAGACCGCCUAGGUUUGUUCAAAAAGGCCUGACCUGGAAGUUAGGGGGUGACAGUCAACCAUGAAGUGACCACGAUUACCUGUGCCCCCGCCCCACCGCCCCACCCCAUUUCUGAAUCAGAGAUCUGAGACGGGACUCUGGCAGGAGUUGGGAACCACUGAGCCGGACACCCAGAAUCCAGGUUUUUACUCUUUUGGGUGCUGCUUUGAGGCCUCAUGGUAGUAAGAGACCAUCAGAUCAGUGACCAGGGUUUGCUUUUCUUCAAACAACAUAUGUUUCAGGCACAGAGAUGAAUAAAGCCUAGACCCUGUCCUCUAAACACAUCCAGCGUAUCGGGGAACACGCCCACCAGACAAUUCCAAUGCGAUGUGCUAAGUGUAAGGCCAGGAAGCUGCCGCAGCCAGGCGCCCAGCAUAGGCGGAGUCAAGGAGGGCUUCCUGGAGGAGGGCUGAGUCCGUGGGAUACACAGGGGUCAGGGAUGACAGGGCCCCCAGGCAGAGGAUGCGUCAUGAGUAGAGGCACGGAGGCACUCAGCUGACCUUUGCUGCCCUGGCCUGUGCCUGGAAGACCAGGCUCUUCCAAUGUCGAAAGGAGAUGGUGUGAGGCUCGGGCUUAGUCGUGAGUUUCACACCAGACAGGAACAGGAACCUCUUGCUGAGCUUCUGGGGGAGUGCUGAGCUGUCACUCAGGUGGUGACUCCUGCCGUCAUGCAGGCCACAGGUCCCCAACCCCCGUCUGUGGCCUGUGAGGACCCGGGCCACACAGCAGGACGUGAGCGGCGGGCGAGUGAGCAAAGCUCCGUCUGCGUUUGCAGCCGCUGCCCAGCGCCAGCAUCGCCGCCUCAGCUCCGCCUCGGACCAUCAGGCGUUAGAUGCUCAUAGGAGCCCCGGUCCCUGCUGCCACAAAGCGUGGGACCGCUGAUAUAGGCCAAGGAGGAGUCCGAGGGAGGUCAGGGAGGCGUCGGGGUACCCUGAGCGGUCUCAUCCGGUGAGCCGGGACUGCGGGACUCGUGCAGGCUCGCUCUCUCCUGCUCCUCCUGCUUCGGGACCUGUUGCCAGCACAGUGGGCCACACUGUCAUGACGGCAGAGUUACUGCUGCUCCUGGUGCAGCUCGAAUUUCCUCAGGCUUUCAUGCUGCGGCCGUGGCCCUUAUUCGUGGGCGGGCGGAAGCUGGCGGGAGGGGUGGGCGAGGCCGCCGCGCUGACCGUGUGCG